AUUGAACGCUGGCGGCAGGCCUAACACAUGCAAGUCGAACGAGUGGCGGACGGGUGAGUAAUGUCUGGGAAACUGCCCGAUGGAGGGGGAUAACUACUGGAAACGGUCGCUAAUACCGCAUACCAUCGGAUGUGCCCAGAUGGGAUUAGCUAGUGGGUGGGGUAACGGCUCACCAAGGCGACGAUCCCUAGCUGGUUUGAGAGGAUGACCAGCCACACUGGAACUGAGACACGGUCCAGACGCCGACGGGAGGCAGCAGUGGGGAAUAUUGCACAAUGGGCGAAAGCCUGAUGCAGCCAUGCCGCGUGUAUGAAGAAGGCCUUCGGGUUGUAAAGUACUUUCAGCGGGGAGGCGUUACUCGCAGAAGAAGCACCGGCUAACUCCGUGCCAGCAGCCGCGGUAAUAC
rnacentral:rRNA from 1 species